CUGGUACGUAAACUCCUGUCCGAGGGGAAGAAAAAAAUGACGGUACCCUUGGAGGAAGCCCCGGCUAACUCCGUGCCAGCAGCCGCGGUAAGAACGGGGUGGGGCGAGCGUUGUUCGGAAUUACUGGGCGUAAAGGGCGCGCAGGCGGCCUGGGAAGUUUUGGGUGAAAGCCCCCGGCUCCWCCGGGGAAUGRCCUCAGAAACCACUAGGCUGGAGURCUGCAGAGGGAAGCGGAAUUCCCGGUGGAGCGGUGAAAUGCGUAGAUAUCGGGAGGAACACCGGAGGCGAAGGCGGCUUCCUGGCAUCAGACACUGACGCUGAGGCGCGAAARCUAGGGGAGCAACACAGGCGAUUAGAUAACUCCCGGUAGUACGCUACGCCGUAAUACGACUGAGUGUAACUACGUGUGUGGGAGGUUAUUAAAAGUCCUUCCGUGUCG
rnacentral:rRNA from 1 species